rnacentral:rRNA from 1 species
AGAACGAACGCUGGCGGCAGGCUUAACACAUGCAAGUCGAGCGCCUCGCAAGAGGAGCGGCAGACGGGUGAGUAACGCGUGGGAAUCUACCCAAUUCUACGGAACAACUGAGGGAAGCUUCAGCUAAUACCGUAUACGCCCUACGGGGGAAAGAUUUAUCGGAAUUGGAUGAGCCCGCGUUGGAUUAGCUAGUUGGUGGGGUAAUGGCCUACCAAGGCGACGAUCCAUAGCUGGUCUGAGAGGAUGAUCAGCCACACUGGGACUGAGACACGGCCCAGACUCCUACGGGAGCAGCAGUGGGGAAUAUUGGACAAGUGGGCGCAAGCCUGACUCCAGCCAUCGCCGCGUGAGUGAUGAAGCGUUAGGUUAGUAAGCUCUUCGAGUGGGUAAGAUAAGUAGACGUACCAGAGAAGAACGCCCGACUACUCGACGCCAG